AUUGAACGCUGGCGGCAGGCUUAACACAUGCAAGUCGAGCGGGGGAAGGCAGCUUGCUACCGGACCUAGCGGCGGACGGGUGAGUAAUGCUUAGGAAUCUGCCUAUUAGUGGGGGACAACAUCUCGAAAGGGAUGCUAAUACCGCAUACGUCCCACGGGAGAAAGCAGGGGAUCUUCGGACUUUGCGCUAGCAGAUGAGCCUAAGUCGGAUUAGCUAGUUGGUGGGGUAAAGGCCUACCAAGGCGACGAUCUGUAGCGGGGCUGAGAGGAUGGUCCGCCACACUGGGACUGAGACACGGCCCAGACUCCUACGGGAGGCAGCAGUGGGGAAAUUUGGACAAUGGGGGGAACCCUGAUCCAGCCAUGCCGCGUGUGUGAAGAAGGCCUUAUGGUUGUAAAGCACUUUAAGCGAGGAGGAGGCUACUUUAGUUAAUACCUAGAGAUAGUGGACGUUACUCGCAGAAUAAGCACCGGCUAACUCUGUGCCAGCCGCCGCGGUAA
rnacentral:rRNA from 1 species